CCUACGGGUGGCAGCAGUGGGGAAUAUUGCGCAAUGGGCGAAAGCCUGACGCAGCGACGCCGCGUGAGGGAUGACGGUCUUCGGAUCGUAAACCUCUGUCAGCAGGGAAGAACGGUCACUGUGCUAAUCAGCAGUGAAUUGACGGUACCUGCAAAGGAAGCACCGGCUAACUCCGUGCCAGCAGCCGCGGUAAUACGGAGGGUGCGAGCGUUAAUCGGAAUGACUGGGCGUAAGGCGAGCGUAGGCGGUAUGUCAAGUCAAGGGUGAAAUCCCCGGGCUCAACGUGGGAACUGCCUUUGAAACUGGCAGACUGGAGUGUGUGAGAGGAUAGUGGAAUUCGAGGUGUAGGAGUGAAAUCCGUAGAUAUCUGGAGGAACAUCAGUGGCGAAGGCGACUAUCUGGCACAUAACUGACGCUGAGGAGCGAAAGCGUGGGUAGCAAACAGGAUUAGAUACCCCUGUAGUC
rnacentral:rRNA from 1 species